GUAAGGUGACACUUAUAAUCUCAUAGCCGGUCUCAAGCCCGGAAAAAGGAGGAGAGGCCACCCAUGUGCUUUUAGACGAAAAUAUAUAUGUUCUGUUGACUUAACGAUCAUGGUUGAAAUGAAAGAAUCAUUUAGGAGAAAUAUUAUUCCAUUGUUUUCAGACGAAAGAGCUGCCUUCCUUUUCUUUUAGAUAAUGAAACAAAUAUUUGAUGUAGUAUCAAAGGUCUGCAUGUUCAAGCCAAUGAAUCUCUCCAUUGAGGCGCUCAAUCACAGUGAGUACCGACACUAAAUCACUCAUUAGAUUUCUAUUAUUCCGGUCACAUCGAAGCUAUUUAUUCAUUUUUUGCUCAUUAAUUCAUGUAUUCUUUGUUCUUCAAUGUUUUCUAUGAAACACUAUUUUGGACUUUUGCCACUCAUUUGUGUAAACCACUCUGCAGUACAUCUCCUCGUUGAAGGAAUCGUUUACUUGCUUUCCUGCCGGCUUGUGUUAUACUAUGUCUUAUUGUCGAAGUUCUGACUUGGUUGUGUAUCUGCUGAUAAUGAAUUACAGCAUAUAUCUAGCUUCUGGUACACAAGGAUUCGAAGGGUAUCGAAGACGCGAAGGAUAGCGAAGAUUUGGAAGAUACCAAAGGAUUAGUUUUUCUUUUUUUCGAUGGUAAUAAAUUCUAAGUUAAAAAAUUGUUAAUACUCCAAUAUUCCUCAAGUUUUCAAGCUCGUUUGUUGAGACAGAGUAUAAUAUACACUACUCUGGUACAGAAGGAGUACUACAUAUGAAAUUUUGUGUUUGCAACUAAGAAUGUUUCUCUUUCUAAAACUAAUGUACUGUAAAACUACAAUAAUUUAGCCUGUGGGUACAAAAUACUGUGGUUUUGACAUAACAAAGUAUUUUGGAGUAUUGAGAAUACUGUGGACCUUUUUAGCAAGUUUUUUAUGCUCCUAAGUAUUUUGAAGUAGUUUUCAAAUGUGCGCAUUGCUAUCUAGUUUCAGACGUGCCGUAUUGCUAGGUAGCCAGAUGUUGCAAACUGAUGAACUGCCAUGCGCAGAACAAUGGCAUGCACAAGCUAGACCGGUGAAAUACUCUGGUUACUGCAGUAGUUGCGUGUGAAGAAGUAAAAGAACUGCAGGUACUGAAUUUAGAAGUCACGCUUCUCUGUGUACUGAUACCCUGCUCUUUCUACUAGUACAUACACUUCUUUUGUAAUUUGUCUGAAGCAUGCAUUCCUGUCCAGAACCCAAAUGCCAGCUUUGCCUUGUGCAUGCAUUCAACGACACCUGACCUAACUACACUCUACAUCCUUAGCUUUCAUUUGUCUGACCACUAUCUUGACAUCAGAAACAAACCAAGCUUACAUUUUUCAGAGUGUCUUUGUUAUUUUACAGAGUGGCUUCUGCAAAUGCCAUAAGAAGCAUCUAUCUGCAGAACAAGUGGAACCACAAUCCUGCAGCAGAAGCAGAUUACUCACAAUAUACAGUUCUUCUUCCCAGCAUAUACAGGUCGCAAACAGUAAUGGCUCAUUGAUGUACAGAGAGUUUUUUUUCAAAAAGGGGAAUGACCCCGGCCUCUGCAUCAUCAUGACGCGCACAACCAUUGAUGUACAGAUAGUAUAACUAGCUUCUUCUUUUUUUCUGCGAGGUGUCUAACUAGCUUCUGAUCAGCUCAAAACAGGCUUGUCUUGCCUCCUCAUCGAUUUCUGAGCAUUUUCGCCUGGUUAGCCAUUGUGGUGCAUGCUUGUACUUAAUUUACAUUGUCGGUCCUUGUGAAUUGUACAGCUCUAGCUGGCCACAAGUAUUUAUCCAUAUAUGGAUGUUUUGUUUGCUAAAAGAGACUUCUGAUCUGUUGAUUUCUGCAGGCGGCGGUGAUGAGACUAUUUGCAGCAGGUAGCAAUGGAAAUAAUAGAAGUCCAUCUUGCUGGGCAUUUCCGUGUGCAGUAAACGACAGCGCCCGGGAGUCUGAACCCCUCGUUUUCAUUCAGCCUCAGCACCAACACCUACAGGCAGGCUGGUGCCGGCGCAGAAUAGGCGGCACGACGAAGGUACUUGUUCGCACAAGCCUUGAGAUGACAAUGAGCAAAACAAAGUCUGGGCUGUAGCAUACUCUGUUUUGUGCUUGUUAUCGUAAAUCUACAAGCGUGUCCGUAUGAUUUGAGUGUGCAUGAGUAUCAAAUGGACAAACAAGGCAAGUAACUGGUGCAAAAAUGCUGAAUUUGGUCAGGCAAAAUGUUUUCUUUUUGUCCAAAUAGCUAGAACUUGACGGGAAAUUAAGCUACAGCACUACAUGUUGGAAAAUGUGUUGAUAUUCAUAUUCUAUACAUCCAUUAUUGUUGAAAUCGCCCAAGGAAUGAAUCCACAGCUUUACCAAACCAGGCAACUGACAGAGGGUUCAGAACAUCAGUAGUUGAGUACAUCGCAUUGCCCUGUAGCUGCAGCAGGACGAGAUGGAACGGGAUGGUGGGAAAUGGAAAGGGAUGGUCUUACCCGGUGGGGGAUCUCCUCGGCUGUCUAUCGGAGUCCACUCAUCUGAGCUCCUGCUGCCGCCAUAGGUGAAGGUUAGGUAGAGCUGAGUGAGAGGAAACAAAUCAAUCAUUCCAGCUAGUCAGGGGUUUGUCGCGAGAGAAGAGAAGAAAUAGGGGAAGGAGAAAGGCUGAACUUGGGACAGUUCCAGGAGUCUACGACCACUGCGAGACGCUCAGGCCCAGGUGGACAAGUACCCGGGUGCUAGCCACAGAGGGUUCGACAGCAGAGCCGAAGCAGACAGUAGUUACUUGAGGUGAACGCUCCGGCAAGAGCGGGGGCGGGACCGCCGGUGCCAAAAGUACUACAUAGUCGCGCUCUUGCUCAUGUUGAUCGCUAUUCUCUUCUACAUCAUGGUUUAGAUAGAGAUGAUGAAACUUGUGUGUGUGCCAUGACCAUGCAGUUGCACUUAUUCGAGACAUGGCAUGACUUGUGUAUCGCUGUUUUAGAGAUGUGAUGAUAUUUGUGUUGAAUGAUGAUGAUGAUGAUGGUAUGA